rnacentral:piRNA from 1 species
UUAAUCUCUGCAGUUCAUCUCAUUU